AUGAUGACUCUUAUACCUAAAGAGAAAGAGGCUACUAGCAUGAAAAAAAUCAGGCCUAUCAGUCUCUUAAACUGUAUUUUUAAAGUGUUUACUAAAGUACUCACAAAUAGAUUGGCACUAUUGAUGAAUACUCUCACCUCUAGUAACCAAACUGCCUUUAUCAAAGGCAGGUAUAUCCUUGAAAGUGUAGUGACUGCACAUGAAGUGCUGCACUCCACUUACAAAUCAGGCAAUCCAGGUCUAGUCCUAAAACUAGACUAUGAGAAAGCCUUUGAUAAAGUAAACCUAGAUUUCCUACUAGAAAUUCUAGAGAAGAGAAAUUUUGGUCCUUUAUGGAUCUCUUGGAUUAAGCAGAUUACUCACAUGGGAUAA
rnacentral:rRNA from 1 species